UUUUUGUUUUAGGUGGAGUUUUGGAAACUACAUGUGACGAGACAGUUCUAAGGAUGGGAAAAAAAAUAUGGUGAUGUUAUCACUUGAUUAGGGCUAGAACUCACAAAAGGGGAUUCCAAUUUACAAGUGGUGGUGAAAAGAAAUCCUGCGAAGGAAGAUGGUGAAUUGAGACAUCUUCUCACGAGUCAACUAGAGGUUGGAUUCGAGAUGGCCCUGGACGUCAGUCUUGUACCUGACAGCCCAUAUGAUCCCGAGAGAGCACAACAGGGAACACAAAGAUGGGAUCCAAGACCUGUGGCAGAAGGAGGCCCGGCCUGUAGAGGAGGCAGCGCUGAAGAGGAGGAUGAGGGCUGUGGAAUGGAAGAGGAAGAGGAAGAAGAAACAGUAGAGUUGGGAGAUUUCUUUGCGGACGGAGUCGAUUUAAGUCUCCUUGAGGGCUAUUUUGUUGACGAUUAGCUCUUCUUCCUUGAGCCAUUGCUUGAGGAGAAGCUUUGUGAGUCAGGGUCUCGGCUUUCUGGUGGAGCGGGAUGAAGGGGCUUCGACGCCAUGAUCUGUUUUUCUUUAAAUUGUUUUCAUUAUUUCUGGCCGUUUGUAUGUGUCGCUCUAUUAAUCUAAGGGGCAAAACUUGUAAAUAAUGAUGAUGGGCAAAUCAACGCUAGAAUUUUCAAUUGGACAGCCGACUUUGGAAAGUCAUUCCGACGGGCAAUCCAAUGCUAUGAUUUUGGGCAGAUUCGAGAUUAUAGCCCAUGUCCUAUCAUCUUGUCAGGUGUUGGUUCUUACAAUUUGAUUUUGCAUGUUUCGUCUUUCAUGCGUUUAAACCGUAAAAA